GGGGGGGGGGGGGGGGGGGGGGGGGGGGGGGGGGGGGGGGGGGGGGGGGGGGGGGGGGGGGGGGGGGGGGGGGGGGGGGGGGGAAGCGGCGGCCGGGGACGAUCCCGGGGGUCCCGAGGGUCCCGAUCCCGCCGGAGCGGACGGAGCUGGAAUAGACGGUGCGGCGGGAGAAGCUCAUGGAGACGGUGACGCGACGGCGAGAGGCCGAGAGUCGCACGGACGGACGCACGGACGGAAUUCCGGGCGGGAAUUCUGGCCGCGAUUUAUAGCCGGGAGCGGCCCCACGGCACCUCCCCACGGCCGCGCUCCCGGGAAGGAGGGGGCGCGGAAGGGGGUGGAGAGCACCGGGACCCGCAUUUUGGGCUUCCAGCCUCCUCCCGGUGCUCCUCGUUCUCUACCCGACCUGCUCUCCCACUCCCGAGCGCUUCCCGAGCUCUCUGCAGCCUCUCUCCCCUCUCCUCUCUCCCGGCCCGAUGUCGGUGUCCAUCCCCCGGCAGCCGGGGGGGGGGGGGGGGGGGGGGGGGGGGGGGGGGGGGGGGGGGGGGGGGGGGGGGGGGGGGGGGGGGGGGGGGGGGGGGGGGGGGGGGGGGGGGGGGGGGGGGGGGGGGGGG
rnacentral:lncRNA from 1 species